AGAAUCCUAGUUAAAUAUAUAACAUAGGACUGUCAGCCCUAAAUUACUUUGAAGUGGAUUCUA
rnacentral:tRNA from 1 species